rnacentral:lncRNA from 1 species
UGUAUCGAUUCCCAUCUGGAAGAAACAUCCCUGAAAUGUCGAUUCCUGGUGCAAGUGGUGGUAUGCUUUCUUCCCCAUUUGACAUGGGUGGCUUUCCUGGGAGAGAUGGUGCUGGUAUAUCACAGCCUAUACCUAUUUCGGCACUGGCAUCAUCUCUUGCGAACGCUCCUCCUGCUCAGCAGAGGAUGGUAUGCAUCACAAGUCUUUUAUCGAUUAUUGAAGUUGUUUGUUCUGUUCUAGCUCUCAAUAUAAUAUUUUGUUUUGUUUUGUAGAUGCUUGGAGAAACUUUGUACCCACUUGUUGGUCAAAUUGAGCAAGAUAUGGCUUCUAAGGUUACUGGUAUGCUACUUGAAAUGGACCAAACUGAAGUUCUGCACUUGCUAGAAUCUCCUGAGGCCCUAAAAGCAAAAGUCAGUGAAGCAAUGGAAGUGCUGAGAAACCUUGCUCCACAGCAACAUCAAAAUACUCCUGUGGAUCAGCUGGCUGGACUUUCUUUAAAUGAUGGCGAGGCAUAGAAAUGUCACGUAUGUGAAGGAGGUUUAAAGGAUGCUGUGGAUGUACUCUGGAAAUAAAAUGAAGAUUCUCAAAGUGUGUGGCAAAUUGAGUCAAUAACUAGGUUCGAAGAGUGGAACAACGAACCUGUGUGUGUGUGUGUGUGUGUGAAUAACAAACACCAAAGUCGCAAAAACCAAGGAUAAAGAGAGGUGUGUGAUAUGGAGGAGCUCCCCCCACAAACGGCCUCGACGAUCACCGGCGGCACUGGACGAUCUGAUUGAUGUUGAUCUGUACAAUCAUAAGAAGAGGGUUAAUUGCUUCAAUUUCCCUAUUUUGAAACUUUAUUUAUCUAUAGUAUGGCAAUAUUGCUUAUUUUCCUUAUUAAUUAAGUAUGAAGUGUAUUAAGCGGUGUUAGUGGGUAGUUACCCUUUAAUGGGAAGUUACCCACUUUGCCAAUUAUCUUGUAAACAAACCUAUAUCAGGAUUUACAGUCAAUGGAAAAAACAGUUUAUUUUGCAUUCUUUGAAUUUAGUGGUUAAUAUUUAUGGUCCGUGUGUGUUACAUUUGAAAAUAGUUAUUUAUGAACAUUUCGAUGACAAUCGUGUCCUCCGUUUUGGCCGGCGGCCGGGGACGGGACGGGGAUACCCGUUGAUAUUUUGUAAAAUAAUUUGUAUUUCUGAUAUUUUUUUAAUCUGAUAUUACAGGAAAAAUGGAAAAUAAUGUAAAACAUAAAAUAAUAUAAAAUUUAAUAAUUAAAUCAGAAAUUAUCUCAAACAUAAAAUAAGAAUAUCCUAAAUCUAAAUAUAAAUUAGUUAUUUUUACCCCCCCCAGCCCCCACCGGCCCACCCCAAAAAAGAAGAAGAAAAAAAAAGAAAUCCUAUUUUUUAUAUGGAUUGAUUGGUUUGGUUAUUUCAAUUUUCAAAAAUUAGGAUUCUGGAUUUAGGUUUAAUUUUAAACCAUCCAACUUCCAUGGAUUUAGGAUCUAAAACAGGGCCCAAAUUGAAAGAUUGUAAGUGGGUUAUAUUGUUGGGCUUAUAUUUAGAUGUUCUCACGUGCGGGCUAACGUAUCGAUUCCAGACCAUCCACAUCGUCUAAUUUAGGGUUUCCAGGAAUGCUAUAUAUAGGUAUUCUCUGUCGUCGUAGGUCUUCGAAGCGCAGGUCGGGCUGCUCCUCCUUUUCUCCUUUCGCAUUCUUCUCUUACUGGCCUACGAUUCUUACCCAAAAGAAAAAAAAACCCGAAAAAAAAUCGAAAAACCAAAAAACUGCAAAAAAUCUUCCUUUGGUCUUGGUUUUUUUAUUCAUAUAUACUAUCCAUCGAUAGAUCGGUGAUUUGUUUCUUCGAUCCUACCUAAUUAGGGUGGUUUUUGCUACUAUUCUACAAAAAAUCCUCAAAAAAACAUAGAUCUGUCUUCUUAGAUUGGUUUUUUCGGUUCGGGAUAUCGAGAUUUCGUGUUCGGAUUCGUUUUUGAUUGAGAAAAGAGAGAGGUUUCUUACAGGUAACUAAUGGCGCAAACACAGGUUCCCCCCCCACAAGCUCAGAUGCAGGUACCGAUAUCUGGUGCCAAUGUUUCCGCAGGAGCCGCUGCUGGUGCUCCCGUUAACAGCCAGGCUCUGUUGACAUCUCUAUAUGUUGGAGAUUUAGAACCUUCGGUAACUGAUUCGCAGGUUUUUGAUCUGUUCAGUCAGCUUGGGCAGGUCGUUUCUGUCAGGGUCUGUAGAGAUAUGGACACUAGAAGGUCUCUUGGAUAUGCAUAUGUCAAUUAUAACCAUCCUCCCGAAGGUAUUCUCUUCGUUUUCAUCAUCUAUUGCAUAAACUCGUUUUAUCGAUUUGUUUUUUUUACGUUUGCUUAUUUCGAUGUUUUUUUAUCCCAUUGAAAAUAAUCUAUAUUUUUUGCUAUCAUAUUUCAAUCAGACUUGCUUUUUAAAUUGUUACUAUUUUAUCGAUUUUUUUUAACUUUUCUAUUCUUACAACCAAAUAUGUAUGGUAAUUAUUUUAAUAUUUUCCUUCAGAUCGAUUCUUGUUGAUAGUUUUUUCAUAUUUAGAUAUAUUCCAAGAUUUUUUUUUGAAAUGUGCGCUUCUUCUUUUUGAACUUUGGUUGUUUAUAAUAUAUUUUACUUAUGUUAUUGUUAUUCUAACAUCUCUAAAUUGUUGUACAAUUUUGCAGCAGCCCGUGCUUUGGAAAUUUUGAAUUUUACUCCAAUGAAUGGAAAGCCUAUCAGGAUAAUGUACUCAAAUCGUGAUCCUAGUACACGCAAAAGUGGAGCUGCAAACAUAUUUAUUAAGGUGAUUAUAUCAUUUAUCGUUGUCUCCUUUGUUAUUUUAAUUUUUUGUUUUUUUGAUAUUUAUAUGGGUAUUUAUUUUCAGAAUCUUGACAAGGCAAUAGAUAACAAAGCACUAUAUGACACCUUUUCUGUUUUUGGUAAUAUUCUCUCUUGUAAAAUUGCCAUGGAUCAAAGUGGCAAUUCGAAGGGUUAUGGAUUUGUCCAAUUUGAAAAAGAAGAUUCUGCACAAGUUGCUAUUGGAAAGCUAAAUGGAAUGCUACUUAAUGAUAAGCAAGUGUUUGUGGGUCCAUUUUUGCGCAAGCAGGAUAGAGAUAAUACUGUAUACAAUGUGAAAUUUAACAAUGUUUUUGUUAAGAAUUUUUCUGAAACAAUGACUGAAGAUGACUUGAAAAAAGUUUUUAGUGAAUUUGGACAAAUUACAAGUGCUGUAGUGAUGAGAGAAGGUGAUGGGAAGUCUAAAUGUUUUGGUUUUGUCAAUUUUGAUAAUUCUGAAGAUGCUGCAAAUGCUGUUGAUUCUCUUAAUGGGAAAAAGUUUGAUGAUAAGGAGUGGUAUGUUGGUAAGGCGCAAAAGAAAUCUGAAAGGGAACAAGAACUCAAGGGUAAAUAUGAGCAGAAUAUUAAGGAGACUGUCGAUAAGAAUCAUGGUCUUAAUCUAUAUUUGAAGAAUUUAGAUGACUCUGUUGCCGAUGAAAAACUGAAGGAAUUGUUUUCUGAUUUUGGUACCAUCACAUCGUGCAAGGUUAUUUUUGUUGGUUUGCUCUAUAUUUUUAGUUUGUUGCCCUUACCUUUUGUUUUAUUAUUUAUAGGUUAUGCGUGAUAGUAAUGGAGUUAGUAGAGGUUCUGGUUUUGUUGCUUUCUCAACUGUCGAAGAGGCUGCCAAUGCUGUAAGUUUUUCUAAGUCUAAUGUGCUUGUGUAGUUGUGUUAGCAGUUUUUCCCUGAUUUUUUAUUUGUAUUAUACUUUGAUAGCUUAAUGAAAUGAAUGGUAAAAUGAUCGCAAAUAAACCCCUCUAUGUGGCUCUUGCACAGCGCAAGGAAGAUAGGAGGGCUAGACUUCAGGUUUUUUUGUCUGUUCUUUAAUACAAAUCUGUUAUUUUUGUUUGCGUUUUACUGCAAUUCUUACGGUUGAUGUUUUCUUUUUUUUAGGCACAGUUUUCUCAAAUGCCCCCUGUCCCAAUGCAGCCAUCUGGUGUUCCACGUAUGCCUAUGUAUCCUGCUGCUGGACCUGGAAUUGGACAACAAUUAUUUUAUGGCCAAGCACCCCCUGCACUUAUUUCUCAUCAGGUAAUUUUUUAAUUACAUUGUUUAUUCUUUCAAAGUUUAGGUAAAAAAUCUAUCAAUCAUUUUUUAUUCAACUUCAUCCUUUAAAAAUAUUUUAUGAGACAUGAACUGUUUAAAAAGAUAUAGUAAGAGACAUAAAUUUUAAUUCGGUCAGGUUUUUAAACAACCAUCGAUGAUUUGUAUUUUUUAUCGAUGAUUUUAGAUAGGAUAUUUUUGAUUUAAUUAGAACUUGAAAUAAAAAAAACUCUUAUUGUUCUUAUUCCUUAUUUUUAUUUUAGACAUCAAUUUUAAUUCGGUCAGGUUUUUAACCAACCGUCGAUGUUUUGUAUUUUUUAUCGAUGAUUUUAUAUAGGAUAUUUUUGAUUUAAAUAGAACUUGAAAUAAAAAAAUUCUUAUUGUUCUUAUUUCUUAUUUUUAUUUCUUGACAUUUAUUUGUUUGGUCAAUUAAUCACAUAUGGAUAUUUUUUUAGCCUGGUUUUGGUUAUCAACAACCACUUGUUCCUGGUAUGAGGCCUGGAGGUGCUCCAUUUUUUAUGCCUUUUGUCCAACAAGGUCAGCAGGGGCCAAGGUCUGGUGGUGGUAGGCGUACUGGACCAGGAGGGCACAUGCAACAAAGUCAGCAACCAAUGCCAAUGGUUCAGCAACAGGUAUCCUGGCUUAUAUAUAUUUUUUACUCUUCAUCUUGUUUUUGAUUUCAUUCCUGUCUUUUGUUUUGCAGAUGUUUCCUAGGGGUGGAAGGAUGUAUCGUUUCCCACCGGGAAGAAAUAUACCUGACAUGCCUAUUCCUGGUGCAAGUGGUGGCAUGCUUUCUUCUCCAUUUGAUAUGGGUGGUUUUCCUGGAAGAGAUGGUGCCAUGUCACAGCCUAUACCUAUAUCAGCACUGGCUUCAUCUCUUGCAAACGCUCCUCCUGAUCAGCAGAGAAUGGUAUACAUUACAAAUCUUUUUAUCUUUUUAUUGUAGUUCUCAAAAAUAUAAUUUUUUGUUUUGUAGAUGCUUGGAGAAAGUUUGUACCCACUUGUUGAUCAAAUUGAGCAUGAUAUGGCUGCUAAGGUUACUGGAAUGCUUCUUGAAAUGGACCAAACUGAAGUUCUACACUUGCUGGAAUCGCCUGAGGC